UACGACGAGACCCACUCUCCCUAUAUCUAUAGCUGUAAGACAAUGCUGACGGAAUCGGGUUUGCCGAUUUUAGGUAGAUAACAACGAUGGCGAAGAAGAACACACCAAGUGUUUCACCCUCCCACUUUUUGGGGUUUGUGGUUUUUUCUCUCUGCUUCUUCGUUCCAAAAUCUGUGUUGGGUGUGAAAAAAGAGCUGCGAUUUAGAAAAAAUGGACAGUUCAAGAUACUGCAAGUGGCAGAUAUGCACUAUGCGGAUGGCAAGACCACGUCUUGCCUCGAUGUGUUCCCAAAUCAGAUGCCUACUUGCUCUGACCUCAACACCACUGCCUUUGUUGAGCGCAUGAUUCAAGCAGAGAAGCCCGAUUUUAUUGUUUUCACUGGGGAUAACAUCUUUGGCUUUGAUGCCACGGAUGCUGCAAAAUCACUGACUGCUGCAUUUCAGCCUGCAAUUGCAUCAAACAUCCCGUGGGCUGCUAUUUUGGGGAACCAUGACCAAGAAUCCACUUUGUCAAGGGAAGGGGUCAUGAAACAUAUUGUUGGCCUUAAGAAUACUCUCUCUCAAGUCAAUCCCGCGGAGGUACACAUCAUUGAUGGUUUUGGGAACUAUAACCUGGAGAUUGGCGGGGUUAAAGGUUCACGAUUUGAAAAUAAAUCAGCUCUUAAUCUUUACUUCCUUGAUAGCGGAGACUACUCCACAGUUCCUGCAAUCCCUGGCUAUGGUUGGAUUAAACCCUCUCAGCAGCUUUGGUUCCAACGCACCUCUGCGAAGCUUCGGAGAGCAUACAUGAGAGAGCCAGAGGCUCAGAAAGGACCUGCACCUGGGCUGGUGUUCUUUCACAUCCCAUUGCCUGAAUUUGCAAGUUUUGAUUCAUCAAGCUUCACAGGAGUGAGACAAGAAGGCAUUAGCUCUGCUUCUGUGAACUCGGGCUUCUUCACAACCAUGGUAGAAGCUGGGGAUGUGAAAGCUGUUUUCAUCGGACAUGAUCAUCUCAAUGACUUCUGUGGUAAGCUUACUGGUAUACAACUUUGUUAUGCUGGGGGUUUUGGAUACCAUGCCUAUGGGAAGGCAGGGUGGUCAAGGAGAGCGAGGGUGGUGUUGGCAUCUUUGGAAAAGACAGAGCAAGGAGGUUGGGGAGUUGUUAAGUCUGUCAAAACAUGGAAGCGCCUUGAUGAUGAACACCUUACUGCUGUAGAUGGUCAGGUCCUUUGGAGCAAGAGCCCUGCUGAUGUUUCGUAGUUAAGCAACAAAGUACAUAAGACAUUGGAAAUGCGUGCAGUGCUUGCUAGGAGUCCGUAGAAAGAAGCAGACUGGCAGCCCUGAGUAACGAGCACAGAAGAUGGCUUAACACCGAGGAAGUGAGAAGCGGAAAUGUUCCACAUAUUUGUAACCUUAUUCAUCGAUUUUGAUAUACGUGUCCUCGAAGUAUAUGUAAACAGUGAAGGUAAUUACAACAGACAAUAAUGGAUGAUCAUGUUUUAGGAAGGUUCUGUAAUUCUUCUAAAAAAAUUUCUAAAAUUUGAUAAUAAAAUAUUGGGUUUUUUCGUUUA